CCUUUGGGCAAUGGAGCUGCCUUACUAACUGCUCUUGUUUGGGAGCUCUAUGGUGGAGAUGGUGCUGUGUCAACAGGAACUGGGUUACUAUCGGCUGGGGUUGGGGUUAGAUUGGGUGAAGCUGGUUCUUUGUCCAUCGUAGUAGGGGUACAAUCUGCGAGAGUUUGGGUUAUGUGUGGUAGGGCUGGUUCUUGUGCAUGUACAAC
rnacentral:rRNA from 1 species